rnacentral:rRNA from 1 species
GAUGAACGCUGGCGGCGUGCCUAAUACAUGCAAGUCGAGCGAACAGACGAGGAGCUUGCUCCUUUGACGUUAGCGGCGGACGGGUGAGUAACACGUGGAUAACCUACCUAUAAGACUGGGAUAACUUCGGGAAACCGGAGCUAAUACCGGAUAACAUGUUGAACCGCAUGGUUCAACAGUGAAAGACGGUCUUGCUGUCACUUAUAGCUGGAUCCGCGCCGCAUUAGCUAGUUGGUAAGGUAACGGCUUACCAAGGCAACGAUGCGUAGCCGACCUGAGAGGGUGAUCGGCCACACUGGAACUGAGACACGGACCAGACUCCUACGGGAGGCAGCAGUAGGGAAUCUUCCGCAAUGGGCGAAAGCCUGACGGAGCAACGCCGCGUGAGUGAAGAAGGUCUUCGGAUCGUAAAACUCUGUUAUUAGGGAAGAACAAAUGUGUAAGUAACUAUGCACGUCUUGACGGUACCUAAUCAGAAAGCCACGGCUAACUACGUG